rnacentral:rRNA from 1 species
UACGUAGGGGGCAAGCGUUGUCCGGAAUCAUUGGGCGUAAAGCGCGCGUAGGCGGCCCGGUAAGUCCGUUGUGAAAGUCAAAGGCUCAACCUUUGAACGCCGAUGGAUACUGCCGGGCUAGAGUCCGGAAGAGGCGAGUGGAAUUCCUGGUGUAGCGGUGGAAUGCGCAGAUAUUAGGAGGAACACCAAUAGCGAAGGCAGCUCGCUGGGACGGUACUGACGCUGAGGCGCGAAAGCGUGGGGAGCGAACAGG